UCCCACUGCCCACAGCCCACGUCGCCACAGUGUUUGUAAACAACCUCUGGUAGGAGAGCACCUGUCACCUGUGCUUAUAAUUAUGGCCAAUUACCACGUUAUUUGUGUAUGGAAAAUAAUAUAUCCAGGAGAUAAGUACUGUCGCCCCAAGUGGUCACCAAGAGAUGCAAGAGACUCUUAUUUGAUUGAAAAUGGCCAGACUGGUGCAUGCUCUAUGGCACCUCAGUUACCCAGAGAGAUUAGAACACCUACAGCUUUUAUGGUACUUUAGACAGGCAAGAGGUGACUUAAUUGAGGUUUAUAAACAUCUUGGAGGACAUUCUGGAACCAGUACUUGCCAUCAGUGUGUAACAGAGAUGUGACCUCCAGCCCAAGCAAAGAGGAUAAAAGUAAAAGUUAAGAACAAGACUUUACAAAAUUGAACUGCACCAUUACAGCUGAAAAUGACCUCUACUACCACCACCACCACAGCAUCACCAUGGCACCACUACCACCAUAACACCACUACCACCACCACUAUUACCUAUGGCAAGGUGAAUUAAAGACUAAACCUUAACUAACAACUCGUGCAUGGAGAAACUGCAGUCACAGAGCAGGGCAGCACGGCAGAGCCGGAGCAGGG
rnacentral:lncRNA from 1 species